CCUACGGGUGGCAGCAGUGGGGAAUCUUCCGCAAUGGGCGAAAGCCUGACGGAGCAACGCCGCGUGAUCGAAUGAAGGCCUUCGGGUUGUAAAGAUCUGUUGACAGGGACGAAUAAGCCAUGCGAAUAGUUUGGUGUAUGACGGUACCUGUUUAGAAAGCCCCGGCUAACUACGUGCCAGCAGCCGCGGUAAUACGUAGGGGGCAAGCGUUAUCCGGAAUUACUGGGUGUAAAGGGUGAGUAGGCGGCAUGGUAAGCCAGAUGUGAAAGCCUUGGGCUUAACCCGAGGAUUGCAUUUGGAACUAUCAAGCUAGAGUACAGGAGAGGAAAGCGGAAUUCCUAGUGUAGCGGUGAAAUGCGUAGAUAUUAGGAAGAACACCAGUGGCGAAGGCGGCUUUCUGGACUGAAACUGACGCUGAGGCACGAAAGCGUGGGGAGCGAACAGGAUUAGAUACCCUGGUAGUC
rnacentral:rRNA from 1 species